rnacentral:rRNA from 1 species
AGGACGAACGCUGGCGGCGUGCUUAACACAUGCAAGUCGAGCGACGCACCACUUCGGUGGUGGCGGAGCGGCGAACGGGUGAGUAACACGUGGGCAACCUGCCCCUAGCUCUGGGACAACACCGGGAAACCGGUGCUAAUACCGGAUACGACACCGAGCGGCAUCGCUUCGGUGUGGAAAGUUUUUCGGCUAGGGAUGGGCCCGCGGCCUAUCAGCUUGUUGGUGGGGUAAUGGCCCACCAAGGCGACGACGGGUA